CCUAAAGGCCUUCCUCAGGUCGCAGACGUCACACACAAAGGUGUAGUUGGGGACCCCGGGGCCUCCGGACUGAGCGGCCCUCCAGGUGACAUGGGGGUGAUGGGAAUGCAUGGAUCCCCAGGAGCCCCCGGCAGAUCCAUACCUGGUCGGUACCUGCAGCCCAUUUCAGUUCAUAGAAACAUUUAGUAUGAUUGAUGAGCAGCGACAGUGAAGGGGCCGUUAUUUAGUGAUAACUCUGCUGACACUCAGGAACCUCACAGGACCGGCAGGUGUUAUUGGUCAGAGUGGAGUUCCAGGAUGCAAAGGGGUCAAAGGAGAUCCAGGUGCAUUCUAUACAGGCAAACCCUCAC